CCUACGGGCGGCAGCAGUGAGGAAUAUUGGUCAAUGGGUGUAAGCCUGAACCAGCCAAGUCGCGUGAGGGAUGAAGGUUCUAUGGAUCGUAAACCUCUUUUAUAAGGGAAUAAAGUGCGGGACGCGUCCCGCUUCGUAUGUACCUUAUGAAUAAGGAUCGGCUAACUCCGUGCCAGCAGCCGCGGUAAUACGGAGGAUCCGAUCGUUAGCCGGAUUUAUUGGGUUUAAAGGGUGCGUAGGCGGCCUUUUAAGUCAGCGGUGAAAGUCUGUGGCUCAACCAUAGAAUUGCCGUUGAAACUGGGGGGCUUGAGUAUGUUUGAGGCAGGCGGAAUGCGUGGUGUAGCGGUGAAAUGCAUAGAUAUCACGCAGAACCCCGAUUGCGAAGGCAGCCUGCCAAGCCAUGACUGACGCUGAUGCACGAAAGCGUGGGGAUCGAACAGGAUUAGAUACCCUUGUAGUC
rnacentral:rRNA from 1 species